AUUUGGGAGAGACUGUAACAUACAGCACCGAAGGGGAAACAGAAGACACACAAAAACUCUCAGGUAAAAGGACCGAAUC
rnacentral:ncRNA from 1 species